rnacentral:rRNA from 1 species
UACGUAGGGGGCAAGCGUUGUCCGGAAUCAUUGGGCGUAAAGAGCGUGUAGGCGGCUCGGUAAGUCCGCUGUGAAAGUCCAGGGCUCAACCCUGGAAUGCCGGUGGAAACUGUCGAGCUAGAGUCCGGAAGAGGCGAGUGGAAUUGGAGGUGUAGCGGUGGAAUGCGUAGAGAUCUCCAAGAACACCAGUUGCGAAGGCGGCUGGCUGGGUCCACAUUGACGCUGAGGCUCGAAAGCGUGGGGAGCAAACAGG